ensembl:antisense Gm37753 predicted gene, 37753
AGGCGGGUUAUCAUUAAUGUCCCUCACCUCCACCUCCACGUGGAAAACCUGCAGCGGCCUGUCCACGAUCACCUCCAGGUGGAUGCUACACUCCACGCUCCGCCCGCACAGCUCCUCCCGGUCGAUCCGAGAAUUCACAAACAAAAUGCCAUUCUGCAGAUUUACCUCCAGAAGGUCCCCGCGGUCCUUGGAAGCCACCCUGAACAGGCGGGGCACCAGCUCCGUCAGCUCCAGCCCCAGGUCCUGCGCGAUGCGGCCCACGAAGGUGCCGUGUUUGGCCUCCUCUGGGACGGAGUAAUGAAGCUGGCCGCUCCCUGCCUCCCAGGCUGCGAGGAGCAGGAGCGAGAGCAGCAUACACCGUGUUCCCAGUCGGCCUUCAGUGCAGUCUUGGAAGAUCCAGCUACCAGAAAAAAGGGCUUUGUGUGGUGGUAGAUGGAAC